CAGUAGCCGCGGUAAUACAGAGGGUGCGAGCGUUAUUCGGAAUUACUGGGCGUAAAGCGUGCGUAGGCGGCUUUUUAAGUCGGAUGUGAAAUCCCUGGGCUUAACCCAGGACUUGCAUUGGAUACUGGCAAGCUAGAGUACGGUAGAGGAUGAUAGAAUUCCAGGUGUAGCGGUGAAAUGCGUAGAGAUCGGGAGGAACACCGACGGCGAAGGCAGCCAUCUGGGCCGACACUGACGCUGAGGUACGAAAGCAUGGGGAGCAAACAGGAUUAGAUACCCGAGUAGUCCCUGUCUCUUAUAU
rnacentral:rRNA from 1 species